rnacentral:rRNA from 1 species
AAGACCUUCGCACUUUUGGAGCGGCCGAUGUCUGAUUAGCUAGUUGGUGGGGUAAUGGCCUACCAAAGCUUCGAUCAGUAGCUGGUCUGAGAGGACGGCCAGCCACACUGGGACUGAGACACGGCCCAGACUCCUACGGGAGGCAGCAGUGGGGAAUUUUGGACAAUGGGCGCAAGCCUGAUCCAGCCAUGCCGCGUGAGUGAAGAAGGCCUUCGGGUUGUAAAGCUCUUUCAGCCGGGAAGAAAAGGUUGCGACUAAUAAUCGCAAUUCAUGACGGUACCGAAAGAAGAAGCACCGGCUAACUACGUGCCAGCAGCCGCGGUAAUACGUAGGGUGCGAGCGUUAAUCGGAAUUACUGGGCGUAAAGGGUGCGCAGGCGGUUUUGUAAGUCAGAUGUGAAAUCCCCGGGCUUAACCUGGGAACU